AGACGACUCUCGGCAACGGAUAUCUCGGCUCUCGCAUCGAUGAAGAACGUAGCGAAAUGCGAUACUUGGUGUGAAUUGCAGAAUCCCGUGAACCAUCGAGUCUUUGAACGCAAGUUGCGCCCGAGGCCACUCGGCCGAGGGCACGCCUGCCUGGGCGUCACGCCACCCAUCGCCACCCCGGCGGCAUUCCGGUGCCCGCCCGGGGAGCGGAGACUGGCCGUCCGUGCCCGAGCCCUCGGCGCGCGGUCGGCAGAAAAGGAGGACACCGUGCGGCGCGGCGCGGCGUGUGGGGGUUGAGAGGCGACCCGUCGCCGAUCGUUUGCCGCGCCMGCAUUCCGCCGCGCGCAGUGUCACCCGUGGGACCGGACUCGCCCGCAGCGGCGGGCGCUCGGACCGCGACCCCAGGUCAGGCGUGGCCACCCGCUGAAUUUAAGCAUAUCAAUAAGCGGAGGAGAAGAAACUUACGAGGAUUCCCCUAGUAACGGCGAGCGAACCGGGAGCAGCCC
rnacentral:rRNA from 1 species